ensembl:snRNA U2 U2 spliceosomal RNA
ACUCCUAUUUCUGCCAUGUGUAAUCAACUUACUCCAAUCUGAUACGUGUUAAAUGGAUUUUUGGAGCAGGGAGUUAGAAUAGGAGCUUGCUCCAUCCACUCCGCACAUCGACCUGGUAUUGCAGUACCUCCGGGAUGGUGCUCCCCCU